rnacentral:rRNA from 1 species
UUUUGCCUACGGGACGCAGCAGUAGGGAAUUUUCGUCAAUGGGCGCAAGCCUGAACGAGCAAUGCCGCGUGAACGAGGAAGGUCUUCGGAUCGUAAAUUUCUGUUGAGGGGGAAAAAGAGCGGAGAGAGGAAAUGGUCUCCGAUUGAUAUUACCCUUCGAGGAAGUCACGGCUAACUACGUGCCAGCAGCCGCGGUAAUACGUAGGUGGCGAGCGUUAUCCGGAAUGAUUG